GCAAUGUUUGCAUCACCAACUUCCUCUUCAAACUCACUUGCUUUAUUCUUCCCCUCCAAGAACACCACCCCCACCGCGAUGCCGGGCCGCCGCCGCUUGUCGUGUAAAGCUGCCACGGCCGCUGCUGCCACCAAAGAGAAUGAUUAUUACAAGUUGCUUUCAGUGAGUGGUGGUUGCAAUGCAAGCGGUGAAGAAAUCAAGAAGGCUUAUAGAGCCAUGGCUUUGCAAUAUCAUCCUGACCUUGUUUGUGAUCCUUUGCUCAAAGAACAGUCCACUAGGAUGUUUGUUCAGCUCAAUGCAGCUUACAAGACGCUCUCUGAUCCUGUUCUUAGAAGACAAUAUGAUGACUCUCUCAUGAGUUUCAAUAGAAAAGACUUUCAAGGAGAUAGAACUGUGUGGCAAAGGCAGAUUCUUGAGCUCAAACGCCGGUCCACUCUACGGAGAGAUCGGUCCGCAUCGGCAUCCUGGGCUGCGAGAAUGCAGGUUCGGAGUUGUUAGCGUUCGUUGGAGCUUAAACUUUUGAGUUUAGCAGUGAUUCAUAUAUUCUUUGGUACCUAAUGUUAAGGAGUAGUUAUUUG
rnacentral:misc_RNA from 1 species